GUGCUCGCUUCGGCAGCACAUAUACUAAAAUUGGAACGAUACAGAGAAGAUUAGCAUGGCCCCUGCACAAGGAUGACAUGCAAAUUCGUGAAGCGUUCUAUAAUUUU
rnacentral:snRNA from 1 species